rnacentral:rRNA from 1 species
UACGGAGGGUGCAAGCGCUGUCCGGAAUCACUGGGCGUAAAGGGCGCGUAGGCGGCUCAUGAAGGCUGUGGUGAAAGUCCGGGGCUCAACCUCGGAUCGGCCGUGGCGACUCGUGGGCUGGAGCACUGUAGAGGCGAGUGGAAUUCCCGGUGUAGUGGUGAAAUGCGUAGAGAUCGGGAGGAACACCCGUGGCGAAGGCGGCUCACUGGGCUGACCUUGACGCUGAGGCGCGAAGGCGUGGGGAGCGAACGGG